rnacentral:rRNA from 1 species
UACAGAGGGGGCCGAGCGUUAUUUCGGAAUUAUUGGGCGUAAAGGGCGCGUAGGCGGCCAUGCGUGUCUUCCGUGAAAUCCCUCGGCUUAACUGAGGACGUGCGGAAGAAACUGCAAGGCUCGAGUCCGGGAGAGGGGGGUGGAAUUCCCAGUGUAGCGGUGAAAUGCGCAGAUAUCAGGAGGAACACCAAUGGCGAAGGCAGCUCGCUGGGACGGUACUGACGCUGAGACGCGAAAGCGUGGGGAGCAAACAGG